rnacentral:rRNA from 1 species
AACGUAGGACGCAAGCGUUAUCCGGAAUUACUGGGCGUAAAGAGCGCGCAGGCGGUUGUACAAGUCACUUUUGAAAGCUCAUGGCUAAACUGUGAGAGGAGAGGUGAUACUGUAGAACUAGAGAUUGCUAGAGGUAUGUGGAAUUCCGCGUGUAGUGGUGAAAUGCGUAGAGAUGCGGAGGAACACCAGUGGCGAAGGCGGCAUACUGGGGCAAAACUGACGCUGAGGAGCGAAAGCAUGGGUAGCGAACGGG